rnacentral:tRNA from 1 species
GGGGUUAUAGCUUAGUGGUAGAGUGCUUGCCUUGCAUGCAUGAAGCCCUGGGUUUGAUCCUCAGCACCA